UACGGGGGGAGCAAGCGUUGUUCGGAUUUACUGGGCGUAAAGGGCGCGUAGGCGGCCACUGCAAGUCAGUUGUGAAAUCUCCGGGCUUAACCCGGAAAGGUCAGCCGAUACUGCGGGGCUAGAGUGCAGAAGGGGCAACUGGAAUUCUCGGUGUAGCGGUGAAAUGCGUAGAUAUCGAGAGGAACACCUGCGGCGAAGGCGGGUUGCUGGGCUGACACUGACGCUGAUGUGCGAAAGCUAGGGGAGCGAACGGG
rnacentral:rRNA from 1 species